rnacentral:ncRNA from 1 species
CAAACAAAUAAGUUACACCUUCGUAUAAUUUUGGGAAUAGGGCCCAUAAGUUUCUACCGGACCACCGUAAAUUGGUCUGACUACGCUGGUGAAUUGACGAUAC